rfam:Myotis davidii contig209024, whole genome shotgun sequence.
GGCAGUUCUCAGAUGACGUACCCCGGAAUCGGGCUUUUUCCUCUCUGGUUCUAGGUGUGUGACCCAAGAACCACA